UCGAUGUUCCCAAUGGUGGAACCUGUCUGUGAUUUUUCGAUGGUUCCUUUGACUUGAGGAUCCCAAGAACAAGACGCUUGAACGAGAAGAGACGCAGUCCGUGGAUCUUUCGGCCAGCAUUUGGUUUUGGGGAAAUCAUUGGACCGUAGCAGACUUUGGAUGGCGCCAGUAUCCCGUUGGUAUUUUUGUGUCGUCACGAUAAGUGACUGCACGUUGACGCGUCAGUCGGAGCACCAAAGGCAGAAAAAUGGUCAAGUACUUUACUAGCAGAAGUGACAUCAACAGCGCCUGGGACCAUGUGGUGUCGGCGUUCUGGCAGCGCUAUCCGAACCCGUUCAGCACUCACGUUCUCACGGAGGACGUCGUGUACCGCGAGGUGACCGCGGACCACAGGCUCCUCUCCAGACGCCUGCUCACGAAGACCAACCGGCUGCCCCGCUGGGCCGAGCGCUUCUUCCCCGCCGGCAUGUCGCGCUCCGUCUACAUCGUGGAGGACUCGAUCGUGGACCCGGCCGGCCGCAGUCUGACGACGUACACCUGGAACCUCAACCACACCACCCUCAUGUCGGUGGAGGAGCGGUGUGUUUUCCGAGACUCGGGCGAGCAGCCCGGCGUCACGCAGCUGAAACGGGAGGCGUGGAUCUCGUCGGGCAUUUACGGCUUCUCCAGACCCAUCCAGGAGUUUGGAUUGGCCCGCUUCAAAAGCAACCAAGCCAAAGCCAUGAAAGGGUUGGAAUACGCGCUGUCGAACCUCCAAGGAGAGACGCCCCAGCGGUCGCUCCGGGGUUCGGUGAAGGAGGCCUCCGACAAGGCGAAAGCGGCCCCCAAGAGCCUGGCCCCUCCCGCACAGACUGCUCAGCAGUACGUCUGACGGACCGUGCGUCGUCAUCGUGCAAGGGCGCUGAUCCACUAUGAAGAGCCUCAGGGGGUCUGGCAGACAUGGACCAGAAGCACAUUUCACUGGUGCAUCCUGCAUUUCUAAACAUAUCGAAUAUUGAUUUUUGACAAGCACCCGUGAUGCGUAUCAUCAUCAUCAUCAUCAUCAUCAUCAUGGUCAACGCUGUUUUCUGCGUUCAAUCUCUGCAACUGUUUGCACCAACACCAGCCAUCAAAUCCUUCACUUUGCACAGAAGAGCGGAUACAGUGGAUCAUCACGCACUGAUUAUUACAUACAUACUUGCUGUGCUACUUAAUUUUUUUUUUUUUUUAACAUUAUUUAAGAAAAUACAUCUGUCACAAGGCACGUCGUUACAAAGGGAGGGUCUUGCGUGUCUGCAGAAAAAAAAAAAACGACAAUGUCAGCUGUUGGGCCACACUGAAACUAAACAAAACAAUUACCAUAUAUAUAUUUUUUGUAGGGGGAGGAUAAUACCACUAGAUAUUUUUUUUGUAUUAUUGGAGGAAUAAAAGUGACGUUUUGACAACAGGGGAUUAAAAAUAAACAUUUUGGGACAAUGGUGAUGGGAAUUAAAAUUUAAUAUCCCCCCCAAAUGAAGUUGUACUAUGGUGAGAAAUGUCAAUACAAAGUCAUAAUUUAAAAAAAAAAAAUAAUAAUUAGGCGUUUUGAUUUUACAAGACAAAGAAAGCAAUAUUAGAUUCCUUGACUUUUACAGGGCAAAAAGUACUGUAUUAUUUUCCGAGAAAAAAAAGAAAUAAAAUGAAACAAAAGGUUUUACAUGGGAAAAAAAAUGUUACACUAAAAAUGGAAUGACUGAAAGAGCUCAAAAAAUGAUAAUUUUAGAAAAAAUUGUCAGGAAUUUAAGAAAAAAGUUGUAAUAAUACAGGAGGAAAUUCAUAACUUUAGAGGAAAAAAAAGACAAAAAUAUUAAUAAAGUUUUAGUAGGUUUUUGUUUGUGUACAUUGUAAUUUCUUCCCCCCACAUUUUUACAAAAAAUAAUAUUUUUUAAGGUGGGGGGGGAAUUCUAAUUUUUGAAACCAGGACAUUGUUGUACCUUUCCAACUUUUUCUUCUAUUUUGAAUGGAAUAAAACUACAAGUUUCAUGUACGUUGUAUGUUCUUUUUCUUGCUAACUUCCUUAUGUAGUAUUAAAAGAAAAUUCCCCAAAAAUGACUUUUUUUUUUUUCUUGCAAAAUCUCCUUUCCUAAAAUUCGGAUAUUACCCCCCCCAUAAUGUUAUGAUUGUGAUAUCAUCACAACAUAUGCCCCCAACAUAUUUUAUUUUCUCUUUCGCUCGCUCCGUCCUCAUUCCUUCAGGGAGGUUCUGUGCAAGAGAUCAUCUUUCAUGCCAUUAGUAUGCUGCUUUUUUUUUUUUUAAUUAAAUCAAAAUGUAUUGCUGCCACACGCACACAACCUUCAUGUUGUUCCGCUGGUUGUAUUUAAUUUUUCAGAAACGUUCCAUCUCAUUUAUUUAUCAUUCCUCUUAUUUUGAACACGAUUAUAUGAGGGGAGUCCCCAGAAAUGGUCCAAUCAAUGGUCAAUAUCGUCGAUUAGCUAUUGUCGUUGUUUCAUUUUUAAACUUGUAAUUACAUGAUAAUAAUCGACUUUAUGUGUGUGUGCGUGGCAGCAUUACGCGACCAAACUUUUCCCGCCAACAGACUGAAAUGAACACGACGGUCACGUUCAAAUCCUCGACAUGAAUGUAAACUGUCCAUGACGACAAAAGAAGAAAAAAAAAACCUUUUUUUUGUUUGUUUUUGUUUAAAUCAUUUUUUUUUUUCUUUCUUGGCCCUCCUGCAGUGUUUGAAGAGAGUGCAGAUAGGAGGUCGUCAAGAGUUGGUCACCAUUAAACGCACCACAGAGUCAAAAACAAACAAAUAAACAAACAAGAAAAAAAACACCUGCUUGUCUUCCGAAUUCAAAUGAAAGGAGAGGAAAAAAAAAAAUCAACAACCCUGGCCUUCCUGACAAAAAAACAAAAACAAGCGCACGAUGGUCGUAUUGCUGUGUCAGCGUAGAAGGAAAUAAACAAACAAACAAACAAAAGAAACAGUGUUGCGGAGGUCAGGCCGGGACGUUUGGGAGACGAUUCACGCCGCAGAGCUGCCAUCGGGUCAAUUAUUUUUGAAAAUCGCUCCCCGCCUGGCCACGCCCACUCCACCAACACAAAAGUCUUUGAAAACAACAACAGCAAAACAACCAAAACAAUAAACGCGCUUCAAGCCUCAAAGGGUGCAGCCCCCGGUGGUGACCGUCACUUUUUUUUGGGGGGGGCGG